UAUAAAGUGUCUUGUACAAUCGAGGCUGUUGCCUGGCUCAGCAUGUGCAAUGCUUGGAAGGUGUGUAGUGAGUAAGGCAGGAGGCUGAGGAAAGAGAAAGAAGGAUAGCAAGGAAAUCCAUGACCUCUGUGCAGCCCCAUGUAGAUCCAGGAUGCUUGGUUGCUACAAUGCUGGUAGAGUGUGGAGUAGGGUCUGCAAUUCCAGGAACACAUACUGUGAUCACAAAUGGAGUCCUUUCAUCACCUUGCUGGCAUUUCAAGCAGGGAGCAGACAGCUGGUCAACCUAACCCCAGAGCAGUAGAGUGGAUGCAGGUAAAGAAACAGGAUGUUUCCGGUGUGAAGUAUGCAAUAGCAUUGGGAGGACUGCCAGGAGUGAAAAAGUUUGUGAUUUUAAGCCAUGAUAACUUGAUUUUAAAACUUACUGUGGCAGGCACAGAGCCACGAGGAGAGACUUACCUUGGAUGAGGGACAAGCAGAGCCGGUGGGAUGCUAUGCUGAGCUGGGAGCGUGGUGAAAAUGAAACUAUGGAAGGAGACGAUGCCGCAUCAAAGAGAAAAAAAAAAAAGGAACCAUGGAGCUGGGAGGAGCCAGGACUGGCUCCCACGCGGGCAUGGGCACGCUUUAUGGUGCUGCGCUGGCGCUGAUUCACUGGCCAGUCCCUUGGAGCCGGGAUAAAAAGCCCGAUGGAAGAGAGGUGCGGGGGGCCAGAAGUAGAUUCCCUAGUGGGCCCGGAGCAGGACCGAGCCCCACCAAGGGAAGUGGUGGCUGCCCUGGAAAGGGGCACAUAAAGAUAAGCCAAGCCCUAGAGGGCUGAAGGACUCGCCCAAAAAGACGCCGUUGACUCCAGACAUCUCCAGACAGGAUUGGACCCAGCAGGAACCUGAGGAGAGAAGGAGUGAUAAAUGUCUAUACCACAGCAAGUACAGACCCAAAAGAGGGGGAGAUUUGCCGGGGAGCAAGGUAACUCAGGGUCAGGUAGGAGUUUGGGCCAGACCACAUAUGGCUUGUGAAGAACCAGAUGAGACAACGUCCAAAUCCAGUUAACAUAAUUCAAAGGCCAGGAUAUCAGAGCCUGUUUCGGACUGGACUGAGGAAACAAGAGAAUAACAUCUUUGGUUGGCGUUAGGUGGGGUGUAGGGCAGGCGGAGCUCCAAACAGGAAGACAGAUGGAAAGAUUGAAGGAAGGGACCAGGAGGCAGGACAUACCAUCUUCCUCCCAAUUAAACUAAUUUUUCCUUCAAGACGUGGCAGGAGAGAACUCCUGAAGACCUUCUGAAUUCUAACCCUCUAAUGAGCUGUUCUCUCAAGCAACGGCGAAACCAGAAAACCCCCUAUGAAUAAUGCAUGCUGGUGAGUGGCACAGGAAAUUGCACUCACCAUAAAUACUCUUGGCAUUCCAAAAAUGUUAACUUUUCCAGUGGCUAACUCUGUCUUUUAUAUGUUGAUACUAUUAGUGAUGAUGCAAGUUAAUGUCUGAUGAGUGGGGUAGUCCCAAGUAUAUUUUCAUCACCCAGAAAUCAACCGCUACUGAGCAAAGUGUUGAUCUGUACCUUCUAGAUCCCUGGAGUCCAUAGGAAAUGUCUUGCUGGCUUCAAUAAAAACAGUAUUUGGCCCCUUUAGGUAUUCAUCUUUCUUGUCA